UGGGGAAUAUUGGACAAUGGGGGGAACCCUGAUCCAGCCAUGCCGCGUGUGUGAAGAAGGCCUUAUGGUUGUAAAGCACUUUAAGCGAGGAGGAGGGUACUGGUAUUAAUACUACCAGGUACUGGACGUUACUCGCAGAAUAAGCACCGGCUAACUCUGUGCCAGCAGCCGCGGUAAUACAGAGGGUGCGAGCGUUAAUCGGAUUUACUGGGCGUAAAGCGUGCGUAGGCGGCUAAUUGAGUCGGAUGUGAAAUCCCCGAGCUUAACUUGGGAAUUGCAUUCGAUACUGGUUAGCUAGAGUGUGGGAGAGGAUGGUAGAAUUCCAGGUGUAGCGAUGAAAUGCGUAGAGAUCUGGAGGAAUACCGAUGGCGAAGGCAGCCAUCUGGCCUAACACUGACGCUGAGGUACGAAAGCAUGGGGAGCAAACAGG
rnacentral:rRNA from 1 species